CUGGUAAUGUAAGAACACGUCUCUGAUCUUUGGCUCAUUACAGCAAAAAAUGUCUGAGUAAUGAUAAAAGAUAAACACAGCCAUUCUUAUCUUGGCACCUCGUGGCAGUCCACCAGAGAGGUGCCUUGGGCCUAAUACUUGGGGUGCCUGUUCUCAUCAAUCGCUCUAUCAGAGAGCAGUUAGGUAUUGGCCUUGAAGUCUUCCUGCCCAGGAUUCAAUCUUGUAAUGAGUGAUCUUGUUGGGGACUUCUCUGCUGCUGCAUUUUCAUCCGCUUAUCCAUAUGUAGCCAGCUACCUUAUACCUGCUUGCAGGCUGCUUUCCCUGGAGGUACAGUCCACACACCCCACAAUCUUCAUUGUGUGGUCUACCUCUGUUUUUGGUGAAUAUAGCUGCUGAUUUGCUUUGUGCCAAACACCUGCUCAGAUCAGACUCCUACCCCAGCCUAAUCCAUUGUUUCUGAACAUCUUGGCUGCACAAGCUUUAUUAGAUGUUACAGCCCCUCUAGGAGAAGCAGCUGCUGUGUGUGUGUUUCAGGCCCCUUUCUAGUUUGCUCUGGCUUUAGUGUCCUUUGUCCCCAGUCAGCUACUUCUCCACAGGUUCAGUGCAGACCUGUAAUGAACUGCAUCAGCUUCUGCUACUAAUGGCCCACUCCCCUUCUGGGUUUUCCUGGCCAUGCCUCUCACCGCUCAGGCUGCCUCCAACUGUUGCAGAAUUCCCAGGGAGAGAAUUCCCGUCUAGGGACAGACCCUUUUAAAGGGUUUCUGGCUCCCUUUCUUCAAGGGAGAUAUGGGACAUGAUCUGGGACAUGAUCUGCUUUUCCACUUUCUUUGCUGAACAUUCUCCUUCCAAGAGAGGAGAGAGAAUAAUGACUCUGUUGUUCAGCAGAUUCACCAGGGUACUUAGUCACCCCACCCUCUGCAUUCUCCUGCCCUUUUGUACCAAGUCCAUCCUGUAUGCUCAAGGCUCUGCAUCCUGCAUGUUCUGGGUUCUCUCCCUAUACAAUUUAAAUCAUUUCAAGAACUUUCUUACAAAAGACUAAGGGAAACCUAACUCCUGCUUUGAGAUUUUAAUAACAUAGCCUGGGGCAUGAAACUUACCUCAGAACGCUUGGCUUUUGACUAGAUCCUUUUUUGUAUAAGUUUUUAUAGUGCACAUGUUCUCAAAAAUGCUUCUUUCAGGGUUCUGAGGAAUAGCUACUGCUAUAAUAGAUACAACUGCUGUACAGGCAGCUACAGCAAUGUUAAUCUCAGAGCCUGGAAAUCAUCUAAAGAAACAGGUAAGAACAGCAGAAGUGCUGAUAGAAGCGGCUGUUAGAUUUUCCUGUUCUGGCACCAGUGGACAAAACCAACCAUCUCCUGGUUUUUACAUUGUUGUUGCCAGAAUAGAAAGGACGGAGAAGGAAACCUUGCUCUAGCCUGCAAGCUUGUUAUAGUCCAGAAGUGAUGAUAUUUUCUCAGGAAUGCUGUAGCUCAUCUAUUCCUUUGUUCUAGUUAAAGGGGUAGAGGAACAAGUCCAAGUCCACUUCUUCAUAUCAGAAUGUUUUAUUUGUUUGAAUCAAAUUAGUCACUGGUAAAUCUCUGCUGACUUUAGUAAAGGCUGGUAAUGUCCAUACAUGUGUACCUGGGAUCUCCAGAAUGGAUAGCAAGGGGCUAAAGAGCAGAGAGCUCCUGUUUAAUCAGGAAUUAUGAAAAGUUGUUUUUAAAUUAGAAGUUUUUUUAAUAAGCAAGGCAAAACCUGAAAUACAAACAACAUUGUGGGGACCCUGCAAUAGAAAGGUGCGAAUGAGAGUGCCUCCAGGGCUCAGGCUCUAGCUCUGUUCUGGGGCCCCCUCAUAUGGAUAAGGCCAGGCAAUGUGUGCUCAGCCCAGUGUAGGAGGUGCUCUUAGUCCUGAGCUGAAACUGGGAUUUCUAAACACCUUCCACCUCUCCAUCUACCAGUGGCCCUUGACUAAUCCCUCCUUUCCUCCUCACUCCACUUCCCCCCCCCCCCCGACCAAAGCUGUGCAAGCACCCUCACCAUGUGUGAGCAUCCUACACUUCCCUUAUGUGUUUGCAACCCUCUUUCAGCACCCAUACCUUUCCCAGUAGUGGUGGGAAAUUGAGAGCAAGUGUUUUGUGUGCCUUUCCCAAGGGAAGGCUGGAGGAGGCUCACUGUGGAAAGAAGUCAUACAAGGUCACUUCUGGCACUGCCUGGAAUAGAGAUCAAGUCCGCAAAAUGGCAAACUGUAGCUCUCAUUUACUCAGUCACACUGUCUUUUUACAUUGAAUGUAUCAAAGGUAUGUGCUUGGCUACCCUCUCUGUAACAAUGUCAGUAACUCCUGCUGUAGGCGACAUUCCCCUCCCAAUGCCAGGAACCGAACCCAGGAAUCCUGAUUCCCAUUAUUCUGUUUCUAGCAAAUAUUUGUGUAACCCACAGGCAAUGUAUGUCAGGUCCCUUUUAGUGACCAUGGGCCAUAUAGGGUCAGAUACUCCUUUUGCUUAGUGAUAGAGGCCUCUCGUAGGUCUAAUUUGCAAGUCCAAUAUGUAAAUCUUGAUGAUGACUCAUAGAGAUUCUUCUGUUUGCAAGAGAUGGAACUUCUGUUAUUUCCCCCCUCCCCAGUUUCUUUUGUAAUAAUAUUUGUGGAGUUGGUGUUCCACCAUAAGAGAAGAUACAUGAAAAAGGAAGUAGACUUGUUUCAGCAGGGUAAGUAAUGAUGUUAGCAAGGAAGAUUUGGGUUCAAUUCCCAGCUCUAUCACAGACUUCCUGUGUGACCUUGGACAAGUGACUGAGCCUCUGUUCCCUAUCUGUAAAUGGGGAUAAUCUUUUUAUACAAAGGUGAGGUGAGAAUACGUACAUUGAACAUUGUGAGGUGCUCAGAUACUGCUAAGAUAGGUAGGUGUAAAUCUAGGUGUGUUUCCAGAUUUGUGUCUUUCUUCAAGUGCACUUCUUUGAGGGAGUCUGCAGAAGUGCCCCUGAGUGAGAAGUACAUUGAGAUUGUAAGAUCUUUGGUGCAGAAUUAGAUGUUUGCUGUUUUAUCUUUCAAAAGGAUCUCUCAAAACUGGGUGACUGGGCAACAAAAUGGCAGAUGAAAUUCAAUGUUGAUAAAUGCAAAGUAAUGCACAUUGGAAAACAUAACCCCAACUAUAUAUAUAUAGAAUGAUGGGGUCUAAAGUAGCUGUUACCACUCAAGAAAGAGAUUUUGGAGUCAUUGUGGACAGUUCUCUGAAAACACCCACUCAAUUUGCAGCAGCAGUCAAAAAAGCGAACAAUAUUGGGAAUCAUUAAGGGAUAGAUAAUAAGACAGCAAUUAUCAUAUUGCCUUGAUAUAAAUCCAUGGUAUGCCCACAUCUUGAAUACUGAGUGCCUGUUGCAUCGUCCCAUCUCAAAAAAAUAUAUUGGAAUUGGAAAAGGUUCAGAAAAGAACAACAGAAAUGAUCAGGGGCAUGGAACAGUUUCCGUAUGAGGAGAGAUUAAUAAGACUGGGACUUUCCAGCUUGGAAAAGAGACGACUAAGGGAGGAUAUGAUAGAAGUCUAUAAAAUCAUGACUGGUGUGGAGAAAGUAAAUAAGGAAGUGUUAUUUAUUGGCCACUGUCAAAGACAGGAUAUUGGGCUACAUAGACCUUUGAUCUAACUCAGUAUGGCCGUUCUUAUGUUUAUACAGCACUCUAAUAAUUAAUUAAUGAUGAUAAUACUGUGUGAACUUCUUUGAGUGUUGGUGUUUACAUGAGUGGAGGCAUGUCUGUGUGCCAAUCUGCAUAUGCUUUUUAUUGUUGCAUGCCUGGGGGUCUGCAAUGAGGGGCAGGGAGUGGAAAUAUUUCAGAUCAAUCCACCCCAGACAAAUAUUCAUUCCCUUUCACUGUCCCCUGUGCAGUAAUAACAAUGUGACUUUUAGAAAGAGCAUAAAGCCAGGGCAGGGCAAGAUGAGAAGACACCCCUCUGUGUAAAUCCCUUAUGGGAUCCCCCUAGGUUGUAGUAUUGAUCAUGGGGAUGUAUGGAGGCUUCUGGAUGGCCCAAGAUAUUUGAUGGUGAAGAUGCAUGAUCCCCUAGAACAGUGGUUCUCAAACUUUUGUACAGGUGACCCCUUUCACAUAGCAAGCAUCUGAGUGCGACCCCCCCCCCUUAUAAAUUAAAAAACCCUUUGUUGUAUAUUUAACACCAUUAUAAAUGCUGGAGGCAAAGCGGGGUUUGGGGUGGAGGCUGGCAGCUCACUACCCCCCAUGUAAUAACCUCGCAACUCCCUGAGGGGUCCCGACCCCCCAGUUUGAGAACUCCUGCCCUAGAAUAUCUGGGGACAAUGACCCAUUUCUUUGAGUCUCCUGACCUCCAUUUUGUGCUCUUCGUUUCAGCUCUUGCCUAUUUGCUAUUUGAUGAAGAACCCUCAAUUGGUAGAGAUAUCUUUGCCAUCUUUGAGCAGAUGAACUGGUCUGCACCACACAGACAGUCCUCCACACUGAGAAGCCACUUCUACUACUGCUUCUCAUGAUUGGCACAGGAAGCCAGAAGGAAUUGGACAGUCUGUCUCCUGAAAAGGCUCUCCUCCUGCUUCUGUUGACCAGGGAACAACCACCAUGGAAUACCCGCACAUGGGGGAGUCAGCCCUGCCCCCUAUUAUAAUGCUGCCUCAUCACAGAAUGUAAAGCAAGAACAUCAGUGUACAACAGAAGGGGAUGGACUGUCAACUUGCCAGAAGGCUGGUGGCUGAAAUUUAAUUUGUAGAUAGGUUUGUAUAAACUUUUGCACCUUUCUGAUUUUUAAUAAAACGUGCCCUAUUUAUUUCCUUAA